GGCAAUUCUAGUCUCCGUCGAGUCAGCUUUGAGCAAGCUGGAUGACCUCGACUACUCAGGCAGCGCCUGCACCAGUUUUUCCAAUGAAGAUUCCAACUGCCUUCAUAGCUCGGUCCAUCCACGCACGGAAGUCAAGCACGGGGCGAGGCCUCCAUCCCAAUCCCAAGCAAUGAAAUACGCUGCUGAUGUGCAGCCUCCCUCAAUAUAACCAUCGCAUUAAUUUGGUCCAGCCACUGCCAAACAAAGGUGGGCA
rnacentral:lncRNA from 1 species